GCUGGCGUGGCUCAAUUGGUAGAGCACCCGAUUUGUAAUCGGGCGGUUGGGAGUUCGAGUCUCACCGCCAGCACCA
rnacentral:tRNA from 1 species